rnacentral:piRNA from 1 species
UAGUGAUGAUGUAUAAAGCUAAACAGAUGG